GUUUCUGCAUGCUCUCUACAAGUGUCAUUUCUUGGAGAGGGCACCUCGUCAGGUAUUGGCUCAAAUCCAUAUAUCAGUCAAGAGAGACUCCCAUUGAAUUCAGGGAGAUUUAGAGCAAGUCUGGAGCCCAUAAAUUUUUUCAGAGGCACUAAGCUCUGCUAUUUGAUAUUCUAUAUUCAUGACAUACAAGUGUGCCUUCUGAUCUAGAAGACACUGUAUACAGUUCACGUCCACUGGAUUUACUUAAAUAAGGUGUCAUGACAAUGAUAUCUUAAGACAUGAUCAUUUUAUACCUAAACUAGAACACAAUCUCUAAUAUUUUCUCAUUUCCUGUAGUUUUUAUUAACAUGUCAUCUAUGUUUUAUCUAAAGGUAAAUUUUCCGUCUAAUGCUAUGCAGAAGCUUGAAGCCCAACUGGAUCUGAUGGUUUUUGGUACAUGCUUGCCUACUGCCCUGAGGCCCACACAGAUGGUGUGAGUGACUAACUGAUCCCUCGAUUUUGCACAGCCUACACACUGAUGUCAUUAGAAGAGACUAAUACCUCUGAGAUAUGAAUUCUUUCUACUAUUUGUACUAGAAAAAAUGUGAAGAGGGAAGGCAUGAGCCUUUGUUUUAAAAAAGAAAUAUUGAUGAACAGUGUGACAAAAGCAUCAGAAAG